rnacentral:rRNA from 1 species
GAUGAACGCUGGCGGCGUGCCUAAUACAUGCAAGUCGAGCGCCUUCACUUUGAACACUACACGGGAAUUAGAUGCUAAACCGGUCCACGGUUUACACUACACGAUCCCCGGCAAUGUAGCGAUCAGUGUGAAGGAGCGGCGGACGGGUGAGUAACGCGUGAGAAUGUACCCCAAACUGAGGGAUAAGCACCAGAAAUGGUGUCUAAUACCGCAUAUGGUCUUCGGAUUAAAGCUUCGGCGGUUUGGGAACAGCUUGCGUCUGAUUAGCUAGUUGGUAAGGUAAAGGCUUACCAAGGCGAUGAUCAGUAGCUGGUCUGAGAGGAUGAUCAGCCACACUGGAACUGAGACACGGUCCAG